AGAGAGAGAGAGAGAGACUAACGGUCUGUUUGGUUUUCUUCUGAGUUUUUUAAUUUUGAGUUUAUGGUUCUUGAGGGGAUGAAGUUCAUAAAUUUGUCUGAGUUUCUGGAGGAUAAAAAAAAUUGUUUAUUUUUUAUUAAUUGAAAUAAAUAUUUAUUAUUUUUUUCUUUUUUUAACCAAAAAAUGGGGCCCACAUCAUGCCGGGUCAGCAUUCUGUUAAAAUUUUAACAGCGAGGACUAAAAGUAGUAACGGAAAAAAAAUGUAGGAUUUUUUCUCAUCAUAAAAAAAUUGUAGGGACUAUUUUUUAUAAUAAGGUAAAAUAUAAGGAUUAAAAACAUAUUUAACCCUAUUAUAUAUUUAGAACUUUUAUAUUUAGGGUUAAUAUGAAUCGUUAGGUUAAUCUCAACGGUUGGAAUUUUAAUUUUAAUUGUUGAAUUAAUUUGAUGGUUGGAUUGGUUGUGUUUUAAAUUUAAUUGUUAUUAGAUUAAUUUAGAUUUAGAUUAGAUUGAGAUAGUUGGAGUGAUUUGGUGAUUGAUGUAUUGUUGGAAUGAAUAGAAAGUUAAUUUUGAUUGUGGAAUUAUUCUGGCGAUUGCCGAUUGGUGUAUGGUUGAAAUGACUGCGUAUAAAAUUUAUUGAUUAAGAGGUUAAUUUUGAUUGUUGGAUUAGUUUCAACUUUCAAUGAUUGAUAUUGUGGUUGGAAUGGUCGUGUGAGUAUUUUUAAAUUGAUUUUAAUUGUUGGAUUAAUUUAACGGUUGCUGUAUGAUUGAAAGUGAUACACAAAGGUUGUGGGAGGUAUUCUCCACAACAUUUUAGUUAUUGAAUUAAUUGCAAAACUUUUAUACAGGGAUCAUCACAAUCUGGUCCAGUGCUUACACCAGCUGAAGUAUUAAUUGCUAUUCAUGGAAUUGAUCCUGAAAGACAUGGAAUUCCCUUAAAAAAGGUAACUGAUGCAUGCAAUGCUUGCUUUGAGCAACGACAAACUUUUACUCAAGAAGUUCUUGCCAAGGUUUUGAAUCAAUUGGUAUGUUGUGUUGGAAUUGCUUUAUAUAAUUGGAAAGGAUAUUCAACAUGGUUUGAUCUCAUACAGCAAAUGCUCUUCCCUGCAUGUUGAGCAAAUUCCUCUUCCUUUACUGUUCACGCGGAGUAUUACAAGCAAUAGGUGUUUUUCCGACACUGGUAUGUGCUGGUUGUUCUUGGCAUUGUUUCGGAUUCUCAAGUUUCAAGUCAGCCACAAACUAGCCAAACACAAACUAGCGCGCCACAACCUAGCCGACCACAAACUAGUCAAACACAAACCAGCCAAACACAAACAGGUGAGACAAGCAACUCAGACAAGGACACAAUGACAGAAAAAUCCAAAGAAUCAUCUACAGCGAGCUAAACUUAAACAAUGGUGGAAUUUACUGGCCAACUGUGAGACUCAAAUUAAAUUAUAGCCCAGACCUUAGACUAAACUGCUACUAGCUAUCUCAAGACUAGGGAAUGAAGAGCCAGAAUUGAUGAAUUCGCCAUAUGCAAAUCGCUGAAUAGUUGCGCCAUGUGCCCAAAGUUGUGAACAUUUGCAUCAGGCAACAUGACUUUGUACAUUUUUUAGGUGGAGUGAUGUAUAUUAGAAUGGUAUAAGAAGAAUCAUACUAUCUCAAACCGGUCCCAGUUUUGGUUUUUUGCUAGAGCAGAGUGUUGGUAUUACGAAUCUAUACAUGAUGUAUUGAUCUCCUAGUGGAUGACUUUCUUGCAUUAGUCUUGAACAUUAUGUAUCUAGUGUUUAGACUCGCAUCUUUGAGUAUUUACUUAUCCCUUAUGUAAUAAUAUAUUCGUUAUUUAAUUUACUUCAUUUUUUGUAAACUUCGCAAUGAAAUAAACAAUGAAUGGCACAAUACUUUGUGA